rnacentral:rRNA from 1 species
AGAGUUUGAUCCUGGCUCAGGAUGAACGCUGGCGGCGUGCCUAAUACAUGCAAGUCGAGCGAACCACUUCGGUGGUGAGCGGCGAACGGGUGAGUAACACGUAGGUGAUCUGCCCAUCAGACGGGGACAACGAUUGGAAACGAUCGCUAAUACCGGAUAGGACGAAAGUUUAAAGGUGCUUCUGGCACCGCUGAUGGAUGAGCCUGCGGCGCAUUAGCUAGUUGGUAGGGUAAAGGCCUACCAAGGCGACGAUGCGUAGCCGACCUGAGAGGGUGGACGGCCACACUGGGACUGAGACACGGCCCAGACUCCUACGGGAGGCAGCAGUAGGGAAUCUUCGGCAAUGGGCGAAAGCCUGACCGAGCAACGCCGCGUGAAUGAUGAAGGCCUUCGGGUUGUAAAAUUCUGUUAUAAGGGAAGAACGACUUUAGUAGGAAAUGGCUAGAGUGUGACGGUACCUUAUGAGAAAGCCACGGCUAACUACGUG